CAAAAAUUGAAAAAUUCAAUUUUGUCGCUCACACGGAGUACUUUUUGGUAAGUGGAAAUCAAGCAUUAUGUUCUGUAACGUUUGACGAUGCUCGUGUCCUAUUUAUUUGAAAUCGUGUUCAUUUUGCAGGUUAUUGUAUGAUAGAACGGUACUUGAAUAUCGUUGUGUAUGAUCAAAGCAAACACUAACCGGAAUAUCCUACAUGUAGUCUUAUUCACAUUGAAAAAAUUCGGUUCAAAACUUUCAGAGAACUUUCGAAUGUUGAUUUCGACUGCGAAGUUUAUAUGAAAACGCAUAGAAAAGCUAGCAAGAUAAAGGACACCAAAUCGAACCGUACUUUUCAACGUGAAUAGGGUUAAUCCUGCAGUUAGCUCGAGUGCUUUAGCAAAGGAUGAGAACAUGGAAAGUUUCGAAGAUCUAAAUUUAGAGGUGCUGAAAUGAGGUUCUAUGGCUCUUCUUUUGUUAGCUGUAUCAGAAUGAUACCUAGCGAUUUCGAAGUACCGUUGUGCCAUACAAUAACUAUUUUAAGAAUAUAUUCCCAGGCUGUGUAUAUGUUAUAUUCGAUAUCGAUGUAAUAAAUGUGAAAUUCCAAAUAAAACAGAGAACUUUAUCAAUAUUUUUAAUUAAGAUCGAUGAUUAAAACGGUGUUGUUUGUGGACUUAAAAAUGAAUA